AAUAUGGCUAAAGAGCUCGUAGUGUUUGCCCGUCUCCGUGAAAGUCCGGGGCUCAACUCCGGAUCUGCGGUGGGUACGGGCAGACUAGAGUGAUGUAGGGGAGACUGGAAUUCCUGGUGUAGCGGUGAAAUGCGCAGAUAUCAGGAGGAACACCGAUGGCGAAGGCAGGUCUCUGGGCAUUAACUGACGCUGAGGAGCGAAAGCAUGGGGAGCGAACAGGAUUAGAUACCCUGGUAGUCCAUGCCGUAAACGUUGGGCACUAGGUGUGGGGGACAUUCCACGUUUUCCGCGCCGUMKAACGCAUUAAGUGCCCG
rnacentral:rRNA from 1 species